rnacentral:rRNA from 1 species
CAGCGCCACGAGUGGCAAUCACAUUUAUUGGGCCUAAAGCGUCCGUAGCAGGACUAGUACAUCUUUCGUGAAAUCCUCGGGCUUAACUCGAGGACGUGCGAGAGACACGACUAGUCUAGGGAAUGGGAGGAGUCAGAGGUAUUUGAGGGGGACUGGUAAAAUGGUAUAAUCCCUCAAGGACCACCGAUGGCGAAGGCAUCUGACCAGAACAUAUCCGACUGUGAGGGACGAAAGCCAGGGGAGCGAACCGGAUUAGAUACCCGAGUAGUCC